AAUCAACGCUGGCGGCGUGCCUCAGACAUGCAAGUCGAACGAUUAAACUUUCCUUCGGGAAAGAUAUAAAGUGGCGCACGGGUGAGUAACACGUAGGUAAUGUACCUUUGGGUGGGGAAUAACCAUCGGAAACGAUGGCUAAUACCGCAUAAUGCAGCGGCAUCGCAAGAUGACAGUUGUUAAAGCGAGCAAUCGCGCCUAAAGAGCAGCCUGCGGCAGAUUAGGAGUUGGUAAGGUAAUGGCUUACCAAGCCUGCGAUCUGUAACCGACCUGAGAGGGUGGUCGGUCACACUGACACUGAAUAACGGGUCAGACUCCUACGGGAGGCAGCAGUCGGGAAUUUUGGGCAAUGGGCGAAAGCCUGACCCAGCAACGCCGCGUGAAGGACGAAGUCUUUCGGGA
rnacentral:rRNA from 1 species